UCUUUAGAAAGAGCAAUGGCUCAGACGGUAGAGCACUGUCGUAUUCGCUCCGUGCGUACUUUCAAACAAGACUGCAGCAAUACCUGUGGCGUUUUACGGAACUAAACGUUCGCCACACGCAUAGUGUGGUAUACGAAAUAUUCGUGUAAUUGAAUGUUACCAGAUAUAAUUAUGAAUAAUCUCAUGGAAGAGUCUGUAACAAACAAAACAAAAAUUCACCGAGUUACACAUGCUGCAUUCUUGAAUGUUAUAACAAAACUAACAACACAACAGGCGUGAAAUUUCAUAGAUUUCCAACAUUUAAUGCACAUUUUCCACACAAACUUGCAAAACGUAAUGAUUGGAUAAAAGCAAUGCGUCUGCAAAACUCAGAUGGAUCACAGUGGAUUCCCAAAAGUAAUACUCGUAUAUGUAGUGCCCACUUUGUAGGUAAUAAAAAAUCACAAACUAUAAACCUAUAAUAUAUCCAGGAGUAUACAAAAAACGUCUUGUGAACAGCGAUCAACACUUGGCUAGGUACAAAAGAGGGUUAAAAAGAUCUAGCAAUCAAGUGAUUGAAAAUGCUGAUUCUAAAAAAAGAAAAGUAGACUCCCCACUUAUGGAUCACUCAACGUUAGGCAAUAAUAUGGCUAACCAUACCAUGGCAGUAACCAGUGGAUCUAUCGGCAUUGUAGGCCGACACUAUUACAAUAUUGAAAGGAUAAUGCAAAGAUUGAGAACACAUAAGAUUUUGGAUAAAUUGACUACCGAGAUGCUACCAUACAUGGAUAAAAUAAUUUUCAUGGCAUGUAUAUUAGUAAAUUUGCAACCUCCAAUUAUAAAAGAAAAGCAACUCUAAUGUAAGCAAAUUUUAUGUUCUCAGAAACAUUUGGUAAUUUUAA